rnacentral:lncRNA from 1 species
CAAGCCCGUCGUCCCGCAAGGCCCCGGCUCGGCGCCCGGAGUGAGCACUGCGCCGCCUCCGGGGGUCUCGGCCCCGCCCGCCAACCCCCCUACCACCGGCGCUCCGCCGGGCCCGGGUCCUACCCCGACUCCGCCGCCCGCAGUCCCCUCUACUGCCCCCGGACCGCCUCCCCCUUCCACGCCGAGCAGCGGAGUCUCAACAACGCCUCCACAGACCGGUGGCCCUCCGCCACCGCCCGCCGGGGGCGCCGGUCCAGGGCCUAAGCAAGGCCCAGGCCCUGGCGGUCCCAAAGGCGGCAAGAUGCCGGGUGGGCCUAAGCCUGGCGGUGGUCCGGGCAUGGGCGCUCCUGGUGGCCACCCGAAGCCACCUCACCGAGGUGGCGGGGAGCCCCGUGGGGGCCGGCAGCACCACGCGCCCUACCACCAGCAGCACCAUCAGGGCCCCCCUCCCGGCGGCCCGGGACCUCGCACAGAGGAAAAGAUAUCCGACUCGGAGGUGAGUAGGUUCUGGAGGAAGCUGUCCGUUUCUC